rnacentral:rRNA from 1 species
CCUACGGGAGGCAGCAGUGGGGAAUAUUGCACAAUGGGCGAAAGCCUGAUGCAGCGACGCCGCGUGAGGGAUGACGGCCUUCGGGUUGUAAACCUCUUUCAGCAGGGAAGAAGCGAGAGUGACGGUACCUGCAGAAGAAGCGCCGGCUAACUACGUGCCAGCAGCCGCGGUAAUACGUAGGGCGCAAGCGUUGUCCGGAAUUAUUGGGCGUAAAGAGCUCGUAGGCGGCUUGUUGCGUCGGUUGUGAAAGCCCGGGGCUUAACCCCGGGUCUGCAGUCGAUACGGGCAGGCUAGAGUGUGGUAGGGGAGAUCGGAAUUCCUGGUGUAGCGGUGAAAUGCGCAGAUAUCAGGAGGAACACCGGUGGCGAAGGCGGAUCUCUGGGCCAUUACUGACGCUGAGGAGCGAAAGCGUGGGGAGCGAACAGGAUUAGAUACCCUGGUAGUCCACGCCGUAAACGUUGGGAACUAGGUGUUGGCGACAUUCCACGUCGUCGGUGCCGCAGCUAACGCAUUAAGUUCCCCGCCUGGGGAGUACGGCCGCAAGGCUAAAACUUAAAUGAAUUGACGGCUGAGACGNGCGACGACGACGACGAGGAGAGG